rnacentral:rRNA from 1 species
GCUUGUCUCAAAGAUUAAGCCAUGCAUGUCUAAGUAUAAACAAAUUUAUAGUGAAACUGCGAAUGGCUCAUUAUAUCAGUUAUAGUUUAUUUGGCGAUAAAAACUACUUGGAUAACCGUAGUAAUUCUAGAGCUAAUACAUGCAAAGAACCCGACUUACGGAGGGUUGUAUUUAUUAGAUAAAAACCAAUGCCUCGUGCUUUUGGUGAGUCAUGAUAACUGCGCGGAUCGCAUGGCCUUGCGCCGGCGACGCUUCAUUCAAAUUUCUGCCCUAUCAACUUUCGAUGGUAAGAUAGAGGCUUACCAUGGUGUUAACGGGUAACGGGGAAUUGGGGUUCGAUUCCGGAGAGGGAGCCUGAGAAAUGGCUACCACUUCCAAGGAAGGCAGCAGG